UACAGGGGGUGCAAACGUUGCUCGGAAUUAUUGGGCGUAAAGCGCGCGUAGGCGGCUACUUAAGUCGGAUGUGAAAGCCCCUGGCUCAACUGGGGAAGUGCACCCGAAACUGAGUAGCUAGAGUGCAAAAGAGGGUCGCGGAAUUCCCGGUGUAGAGGUGAAAUUCGUAGAUAUCGGGAGGAACACCGGUGGCGAAGGCGGCGGCCUGGUUUGACACUGACGCUGAGGCGCGAAAGCGUGGGGAGCAAACAGG
rnacentral:rRNA from 1 species